CACAAUAUCCUAGAAGGUCCGUGGCUGGAGCAGGGAGAGAGCCUAGGGCGGGGGGAGGGGAGGAGAGCCGCCCGGGUGCCUGCGGCACCCGGUGCACCCGGGCGACCGCGGCGCGCCGCUUACCUUUCACCACCCUGUCGGUCGUCGACAACUUGGGAUCAAUUGCCUUGGGCUCGGACAUCUCCAGCCGCCGGGGGACAGCGACGCGCUGCUCGUCCGUCCUACUGCACACCCCGACCGGACUGGCGGGCCAACACUCAACGCCGCCGCCGCCGCCGCGCUGCAAACCGCUUGGCUGGAGGUCUGGGCUCUGAGCUGGCUUUAAAGUUACUGCCUUCUCCGCGCGUCCCUCCUCCUCCGCCGCCGCCGCCUUCACUCCUCCUCCACCGCCGCCAGCCCCUCCGACUCUGCUCCGGGCUGCGCGUGUGUGGUGGUUAUUUAUUUAUUUUCAAAGCACGCCUCUCGGUUCUUCUUUUAUUCUUGGGGGAAGGGGGAUGGGGAGGGGAAGCGCACACACGAGCACCCACCCUGGCACGGAGAUCAGGCACAGCGGAAUGGAUCCCCACGCGCGCACACUGCCGGGAUUAAGACCGAUCACAUGGGGAGGGCCGGGGGCGAGAGAGAGAGGCAGGGCCGCCGAUGUCAAUGCCACCAGCCGCGCCUCAGCGUCCCCGGCGGCUGAGAGGCGGACGCCGCUGCUGCUGCUGCCGCUGUUACUGCCGCUGCUUCCCCACACCGACCGCUGCCGCUGAUCCGCGGCCGCCAGAGACGUCCCGCCGCCGUGCUCGCCCGUGCCCGCCUCUGCCUCCCAGCGCCGCUCCUCCACUCACACAGGCACAGCCGUGGAGCUCGGCAGACACAGUCCGGGGCGCAACCUACCCUCCACCGCUGCCGCCUCCUCCGCCGCCGCCGCCACCGCUCCCGCCUCCUCCCCUUCCUCCUCCCGGCCCCCGCCUCUAUCGCCCCAGCAGCCUCCUCCUCCUCGCGGAGCCCGCCCCCUGGCUCCCCGCCCAGACGUUGGGUCAGCGGUCGCUUAUUGGCUAGCGUGUGCGUCACUCACCGCCAGUGGCGACCUCCUCGUGGGUCCCGCCUCCCGCUCCUCCUCUUCGUCCCCGCCCCCUGCUCUGUUUUCUCCUGGUUGCCAGUCCUGUGGGCCUGUCGCCUCCACCAACCAGUCCCCGCUCAGGUGUCACUGUUGCUGGCAGGCCGGGGUUAGGGAAGGAGAAUGGGCAGGGGUCGCGGUUGGGAGGAGAGAGGCCCUACUAUGCCACCCUCAGCCCGAUUUGGCCUCCUCCCCGGCACCCCGCACACACACCCCAUACACCCCGGGCCGCUUUGGCAACCGUGCCUCGUCGGCUGGGUCGAGCCGCAGUGUGGGACCGUGUGGUGGUCAUUUAUGUUUCCCACUUGUGCAUCCACACCUUCCGAGAAGGGGCCGCUCUGGAGCGUUGCGGCCCGAAGACUUGGCAGAGCGUGCUGGGAGCUCUAGGACGCUGGAGCAGACUGUCCACCGAGGAAUGCCCAAGCAAUCCUUGAUUAUAUUACCACAGAUUACCUUACACUUGGAAUUUACAUUUUCUAAGAUGUUACUGCAAUUCCUGGAUGCUGACUUUGAUAGUAUCCUCUGAUUGAAGAAAAAGAAAAAAAAACCUUGGCAGAAAAAACUUACUGUCUACCAAAUAAUUGUAUUUCCCCAUCUUUAGUAUAUUUCUCUCUGCAAAAUAUUUGCCCAGGUAGGGACUCCAUUUUCCAUUUCCCAGUCUGCACCUGCUUGCAAAUAAGUGGGUCCAUGUGACUAGUUAUGGUGAAUGGAAUGUGGGCUGAAGUGUUUCAUCACUUUCCCAGGAAGGCAGUUAGGCAGCAGAUAACACAUUCUACAGCCUAUGGGUUCCCAUCUUAUAGUUGAAUUCAUGGGCUUCUAGAGGCCAGGAGAAGGGGUGACCCCAAAUGAAAAGAACUGAGUACCUGAGCCAGCACAUGGAGGAAUGCUGCCCGCCUAGUAGGAAAAUCUGCACUGGACUUUACUCGAAUUAAAAAUAAGCUCUUAUUGUGUUGCUCCAUUGAAAUUUAGGGAUAUGUUUGUUAGAGUACCUAGUAUCACCAGAUUAGCACACAGAUGUUAUCAUGUUAGUUCAGAAAGGAAAAUCCAGAAUUAUUUUGUAUCUGUUAUAUGUCAGAACUACCAGAAGACUAAAAAUAUUAUCUUUUAAUACAUGAGCAUCAAUUUUGAUUUUUUGUAAAUGAAUUAUUGAUUUGUCUCUUGUGUUUCAAACAUCUGUUCUGUGCAAAGCGCUGACUAUAUGAUGCACAAAUGUAUAAAGGAUUCUAGAUUUAGUCCUUUUAUUUAAGAAUUGUUACAGAAGAGUUGUACAUAUGCUAUCUUCGCAAACAUUUAGGUGCAAGGUGCUACUUCCUCAAAAUUGAUUAUGAACAUAAAUACGUACGGAAAAAAUAUUGAGGAUUUGGAGUCAUCUGUGCAUACAAAUGCUCCAAGUCACAGCUUACCUCCACUGGUACCAAUUAUAGUAAAUGAGUAAUAUUUUAGUUUGCUUUUUUAGGCAACUACCAGAUGUAGAAGCUUUUUUUUUAAAGAAAAAAAGUAAUGAUAUUUCAUAUUAUAUCCUGUUUUGAGAAUAACCAGCUUUUGAAAUUUUGGACUUUCCUUUGGUUCUCAGAUGAAUUACUAUAUAUAUGUAUUUUUUUUUUCUUUUGGCUUUUUAGGGCCACCUGCGGCAUAUGGAAGUUCCCAGGCUAGGGGUCAAAUCAACCACAGCAACUCGGGAUCCGAGCCUCAUCUGCAACCUAUACCACAGCUCAUGGCAACACCAGAUCCUUAAGUCCCUAAACGAGGCCAGAGAUGGAACCCACAUCUUCAUGGAUACUAGUUGGGUUCGUUUCCUCUGGGCUACAAAUGGAAUUCCAAAUUACUGUUAUUUUGCCAUUAAGGAUGGAAUAAUAACUUCAGGUUCUGACCCUUCCAAGGCAUGUGCUUUGUUCUGAGUAGUUGAUAGCAGACAACUGUAUGUCUGACCUGUUCUCACCUAGGCUGAUGGAGCAUGGUGCUGAAGAACCUGCAGAGUACACAGCCAAUCCUUGUGGAUCCAUGAAUGUGGAUGCGAAUUUGAUUUAUUAUCUUAAAGCUAAUUCCUCUGACAUUCAUAUUUAACAUGUUCUACCCUUUUCACUAUAGAGGCUCUGUGAAAUACAUUAUUCAACAUGGAUUUUAUUUGCGGUUUAAAAUAAAAGGGCUUUUUGUUGUUUAUAUUUUGGAUUGCUCUUGAAAUUUAUUGAGCCUGUUUUUUUCCAGAAGGCAGUUUUCCUCAUUUAAGAAAGUUAUUUUUCAAAGUACACAAAAAUUGUUAUACCAAAUGCAUUUAGGAAUAAAUUUACUUUCUCUCCAUCAGGGAUCAGGUUAUGAUUUAGAGAAUUGUAUGCUAAGUUUAAUACAGAGAGGAUAUGUUUUAUGUAAAGCUGGGCAAGACUGUGAGCAAUCAUUAUUAAUUUGGAUUUAAUAAAUAUGUUUUAUUUAUAUUUU
rnacentral:lncRNA from 1 species